UGCCAGACUCCUACGGGAGGCAGCAGUGGGGAAUAUUGCACAAUGGGGGAAACCCUGAUGCAGCGACGCCGCGUGAGUGAAGAAGUAUUUCGGUAUGUAAAGCUCUAUCAGCAGGGAAGAAAUACUGACCUUACGGUCAGCAGACGGUACCUGACUAAGAAGCCCCGGCUAACUACGUGCCAGCAGCCGCGGUAAUACGUAGGGGGCAAGCGUUAUCCGGAUUUACUGGGUGUAAAGGGAGCGUAGACGGUGCAGCAAGUCUGGAGUGAAAGGCAGGGGCCCAACCCCUGGACUGCUCUGGAAACUGUUGUACUUGAGUGCAGGAGAGGUAAGUGGAAUUCCUAGUGUAGCGGUGAAAUGCGUAGAUAUUAGGAGGAACACCAGUGGCGAAGGCGGCGUACUGGACUGUAACUGACGUUGAGGCUCGAAAGCGUGGGGAGCAAACAGGAUUAGAUACCCCCGUACAC
rnacentral:rRNA from 1 species